rnacentral:piRNA from 1 species
UGAGGUUGAGAUGUGUGUGAGUGGUUGAGU